rnacentral:rRNA from 1 species
GAAGGGGGCUAGCGUUGUUCGGAUUUACUGGGCGUAAAGCGCACGUAGGCGGAUUGUUAAGUUAGAUGUGAAAGCCCCGGGCUUAACCUGGGAAUUGCAUUUCAUACUGGGUCGCUAGAGUACUUUAGGGAGGGGUAGAAUUCCACGUGUAGCGGUGAAAUGCGUAGAGAUGUGGAGGAAUACCGAAGGCGAAGGCAGCCCCUUGGGAAUGUACUGACGCUCAUGUGCNAAAGCGUGGGGAGCAAACAGGAUUANAUACCCUGGUAGUCCACGCUGUAAACGACGUCNAUUUGGUGAUUGGGCUUUAAGCUUGGCGCCCGUANCUAACGUGAUAAAUCGACCGCCUGGGGAGUACNGCCGCNAGGUUAAAACUCAAAGGAAUUGACGGANCCNANCANCCGCGNNNNNA